rnacentral:rRNA from 1 species
GAUGAACGCUGGCGGCGUGCCUAACACAUGCAAGUCGAGCGGCAGCAGCACCUUCGGGUGGCUGGCGAGCGGCGGACGGCUGAGUAACACGUAGGAACGUGCCCCAAAGUGAGGGAUAAGCCCUGGAAACAGGGUCUAAUACCGCAUAUGAUCUUCGGAUUAAAGCUUUAUGCGCUUUGGGAGCGGCCUGCGUACGAUUAGAUUGUUGGUGAGGUAACGGCUCACCAAGUCGACGAUCGUUAGCUGGUCUGAGAGGAUGAUCAGCCAGACUGGAACUGAGACACGGUCCAGACUCCUACGGGAGGCAGCAGUGAGGAAUCUUCCACAAUGGGGGCAACCCUGAUGGAGCAACGCCGCGUGCAGGAUGAAUGCCUUCGGGUUGUAAACUGCUUUUCUUAGCGAAGAAUACGACGGUAACUAAGGAAUAAGGAACGGCUAACUACGUGCCAGCCGCCGCAGUAAAAC